UAGGGAAUCUUCCACAAUGGGACGAAAGUCUGAUGGAGCAACGCCGCGUGAGUGAAGAAGGGUCUCGGCUCGUAAAACUCUGUUGUUAAAGAAGAACAUAUCUGAGAGUAACUGUUCAGGUAUUGACGGUAUUUAACCAGAAAGCCACGGCUAACUACGUGCCAG
rnacentral:rRNA from 1 species